rfam:Punica granatum cultivar Dabenzi scaffold530, whole genome shotgun sequence.
UGAGCACUGGUGAUGCGGACUUAAAAUCGUUACCCUUGCACUUUGAUUGCCACUGAAGAAACUUAUGGGUAAAUAUGUUAUUUGAGAUGCUC